AUACGUAGGGUGCAAGCGUUAAUCGGAGUUACUGGGCGUAAAGCGUGCGCAGGCGGUUCGGAAAGAAAGAUGUGAAAUCCCAGAGCUUAACUUUGGAACUGCAUUUUUAACUACCGAGCUAGAGUGUGUCAGAGGGAGGUGGAAUUCCGCGUGUAGCAGUGAAAUGCGUAGAUAUGCGGAGGAACACCGAUGGCGAAGGCAGCCUCCUGGGAUAACACUGACGCUCAUGCACGAAAGCGUGGGGAGCAAACAG
rnacentral:rRNA from 1 species